AGUUUGUUGUGUGUAUAUUUAUCUAAGUAAACUAGCUGUUCAAUAUUUCACAGCUUUGAAUUUCGAAGAUUUUCAUAAUUGUGUAGCUUUGCAAAAAUGGGCUGCCUUGUCUUGUGUUUACCUUGUAAAUUUUCAGGAGUCCAUAACCUCAUAGUACUGAUGUUACUUUUGGGAGUCUUUCUUAAAAGUUUAGGGCUGGCUUGGGAAUAUAGUGAUUUACUUGCGUUAUGAAACAAGGAUAAAAAAGCAAUUGUGUCUUAAAAUUUGGAACACAGGAAUUUUGUUUGGGUAGCACAAAAUAUGAUGAUGUGGUAAAUGGCCAAGGGACGGUUCCGAUAG
rnacentral:misc_RNA from 1 species